CUUGCAAAGUAGAGAUUUCAUCAAAGAGAGGAAACACUACGAAUAUGCAAAAGCAUUUGCUCAAAAAACACGUGAUUGCUUUAAAUGAAUGUCGUGUUUUUGAUCCGCUCCGGACUAGCAAAGCUCAACCCAGCAGCAGCGGUAGCGUUUGCACGUCCUCUCCCGUUAAUACUGCAGAGCUGCCCAAGCAUAUGCUGCUCCUAGAUGUAAAGACCAGAUGGAACUCUUUGUAUUUGAUGAUGGAGAGAUUCUGCGAGUAGUUUCCUGCCAUCCAGGCUGCAGCCAUCGAUCCACGAAUAAGAAAGUCCAUGGAAAAGGAAAGACUGGCUAAAAUGGGCAAUGAUGACUUAAGAAAAGCAGAGGAGUUUGUGGUACUCAUGCGGAAGCACUACACCUCCACACUAGCAGUGUCCAGUGACAAAAGUCCGACCUGUGGUGAGAUUUUGCCCAUCCUGCAAAAGCUACAGUAACACUACACCGUACAAGAAGAUGACUCUGCCUUCACAAGGAGCAUAAAGGAGAACAUUUGGAAAGAUCUUUCCAAACGAUACCAGGACGCUGAUAUCAAGAGCUUCCUGGAGGAGGCCACCAUCUUGGACCCCCGAUUUAAAUCCAAAGUGGAGAAGGAUGAAGUCUGGCACAGGAUCAGGGAAGCAGCAAAGGCAGAGGCAGGAGCAGAUGAGCACCUGAAGCAAGGAGACAGACAGGGAGAGCUGUUCGAAGAUGAGGAUGAAGAAGACUAUGCGCCACCAGUAAAGCAAAGAAAAACGGCCUUGGAGGAAUUCUUUGAAGAAGAGGACAACGAGCUGCAGUCAUUCCAACAACGGCAGCCCGUUCUUUCCCUGGGCCACAGAGUGGAUCAGGAGAUCCAGCUGUAUAGAAGCCUAACCCCCAUCCCCUGCAAGGAUAACGCCGCCCUAUGGUGAUGGAGCAAGAGAGAGACUCUGCCCCUGCUGUCAGCACUGGCUGAAAGGUUUCUGUGUGUGCAGGCAUCCUCCACCCUGUCUGAGAGGGUGUUCUCCACAGCUGGAGAGACCAUAAGUCCAGAAAGAUCACGUAUCCUUCCUGAAAAAGCAGAUAUGCUUAUAUUUUUAUUCUCCAUAGUUGAUGGAUGCAGAAUUGCACAGUGCACAGUUCCAUUGGACUUGAGUCGAUUGUAUUUUUUGCUGGCUGAUAUAGUUUUAUUGUUGAGUGCCCAGCUCAUAUAUACUUUUAAAAAGGAGAGUGUAAAUGUUGCUGGACAUUCUUGUGUAAUUGCCACUGAAUAAUUUAUGUUAUACUUUGUUAUUGCUACAACAGAAUAUUUAUUUUAUUAUUAGUUUACAUUUACUUUUUUUUGUCUGGGGUCCUCGUGGCAUCGAGGAGCAGUAGGCUGUGGAUCUCUUAAGAUCUCACUGUUGGGUUUGUAAGGCCAUGUUACUCCUACAUUUCUGUCUGUUCAAAGAUAAGAUAUAAAACAAAGUUCAAAGCUAAUCGACCUGUGGGUUCUCCUUUUUUAAAAAUAAGAAUCGAUAAGAGAAUCGAUAAAUAAUCGAAUCGUUAAACAGAAUCGAAAAUGGAAUCGGAAUGGUGAAAAUUAAUACCCAUCCCUAAUGACCAGUGCUACUGAAAACUUCUCGUAGACUUGUAAGCAUAAUUCUGUGGGUUUACAGCUUUGACAUAACCCAAAGCUGGAUGGCUACUCAAGGUCACAGAAUUAAAGCUGAAUCAUGGCUGGACCUCCAGGACCCUUGAGGAAGCAGAUCAGAAUCUGCUUUCAUAGUUAUGGUCGUGCAGGCGAUCAUUUGUUUUUGAAUAUCUAAUAGGAAGCUUGGAAAGCACAAACACAUCUGGCCUACUAAUUAUGGUGCAGUUAUUGUCAGCUAACAGCCACCAAACCAAAGACAUGAAUCAGAUCGUUUGAAUGCACGGUGUGGAGGGUGCUUUCAUGCUGUUUUUCUGAAAGCAAUAAGGAAUAAUACAUGAAGAUUCUGGUCUAUUUAAUCCAAAACACACUUAAAGAAUGAACUAAACUGCAACUAUCUUUCUCACAACAAACAUAUUCAUGUUAUACACUAUGUAUAGAAAAUAUAUGCGUUUGCUUAAUGGCUCAGUGAGACUAGAGUAUAAACAGGACUCUUCUUCUAACUCGGAAAAUCCGUCACUGUGUCUCUUUGCAGUUGGGCUCUCAACUCAACUAGUUGUCAACUGGUUGUGUUGUGAUUGUAUUCCUAUAUAAAUAAUGUGACAGCAACAUUUUUGGAUGGAUGGAUGGAAAUAAACUUUCUACUACAGACCUGCUACUACAUGGUAAAACGAGUAACUCAAAACAUCAGCAUGAUUUGUACAUGGCUUGAUCAAACCUUGAAAGACAUGCAAGAGUGAACAUUUGUUGACUUUCGCAUUCAUGAUUUGAACAGUAACGUGAUAUCAGGUUUCAAACCACUGGGGUAUUUUUUUUUUCCUGUAGUAAAUCAAAAUCAUAUUCCCUUACUGACCUUAAUUGAGAGCUGUGGGUUUCAAAACUUGAGACCGUCUUACAGUGAGAUUGCACCAGUCAUUGCAUCAAUGAGCCACCAUACUUAUCUUUGAACAUUUUAACCCUGUAAAGCCUGAACCAUGAAAUAACUGACAGAAAAGCCAAAGUUUUUGACACUGGGGUGCUUAUAUAUGUUUAUAUUUUCUUUAAAAUUAAAGAAAUAAAUUAAAUACAAAUUUGCA